GCCGCUGCCGGGUAUCGGCUUCCAGUCCGCGGAGGGCGAGGCGGCGUGGACAGCGGCCCCGGCACCCAGCGCCCCGCCGCCCGCAAGCCGCGCGCCCGUCCGCCGCGCCCCGAGCCUGCCGCUUCCUAUCUCAGCGCCCUGCCGCCGCCGCGGCCCAGCGAGCGGCCCUGAUGCAGGCCAUCAAGUGUGUGGUGGUGGGAGACGGAAACAAGAAUCUCAGUGUAACCCGAGCAAAAUCGCGCAUCUCAACGUUGCUUGUAUAGAGCUGUAGGUAAAACUUGCCUACUGAUCAGUUACACAACCAAUGCAUUUCCUGGAGAAUAUAUCCCUACUGUCUUUGACAAUUAUUCUGCCAAUGUUAUGGUAGAUGGAAAACCGGUGAAUCUGGGCUUAUGGGAUACAGCUGGACAAGAAGAUUAUGACAGAUUACGCCCCCUAUCCUAUCCGCAAACAGAUGUGUUCUUAAUUUGCUUUUCCCUUGUGAGUCCUGCAUCAUUUGAAAAUGUCCGUGCAAAGUGGUAUCCUGAGGUGCGGCACCACUGUCCCAACACUCCCAUCAUCCUAGUGGGAACUAAACUUGAUCUUAGGGAUGAUAAAGACACGAUCGAGAAACUGAAGGAGAAGAAGCUGACUCCCAUCACCUAUCCGCAGGGUCUAGCCAUGGCUAAGGAGAUUGGUGCUGUAAAAUACCUGGAGUGCUCAGCGCUCACACAGCGAGGCCUCAAGACAGUGUUUGACGAAGCGAUCCGAGCAGUCCUCUGCCCACCUCCCGUGAAGAAGAGGAAGAGAAAAUGCCUGCUGUUGUAAAUGUCUGAGCCCCUCGUUCUUGGUCCUGUCCCUUG
rnacentral:sRNA from 1 species